CACAAUUUGUUCUUUAUAAAAUGUUUUACUUGAGCCAAAUGUCUGCCAGCUAAAAUAUUUAAUUUCAUAAUAAAAAUAAUCAUAAUAGAUAUGAAUUUAUAGUGUCCUUGGACGUCAAAUUUAUGUUCCCCUCAGCUGAAUGCCUGAGACCUUUGCUCAUUUCCUCCCUCUGUAUUUCAAAACAAUUAAAAUCUGAUUAGUUUAAAAAAUAAUCAGAUUUUUUUUUUUGUCUUUUUACUUAAGCAAAAAAAAAUGAUAAUGAGUUAGGGUUGUAAUGAUUAAAAAUAUCAGAAUCGAUAAAUAUGAUUAAAUAAUAUUUUCUGUUUUCUCUACUUCGCUAUAAAAUGGGAAAUUCCCCUUUUCCAUUUGCGUCAUUUAAAAGGGAAAAUUCCCGAUUUCUAUUUAUUAGUUAUAUAUUUUCCUGUCGAGUGUGUAACUGUUAAAACAUAGCCACGUUAUUCUAGAAAUCUCCCUGAAACAAGAAAAGUCAUUCAUUCUUUGGAAUUAUGGAUAGAAUUUGCUGCAUUGUUGAUUUUGAAGGCUUUUGGGUGAACUCUACGUUUUUGGCGAGAGAGAUAGGGUGGAUCAACAUCAGCACUGGCAUGUCAGGGACUGUUCGAUUUGAUUUGCGGGGUUACCAACGAUCCUUACCAGAUCUAAUGAACUGUGACUAUAUUACUGAAAAUAUCAGUGGCUUGACAUUUGAGCCGAUGUUAGGAGAGCCGACCAUAUCGCCUCAUCUUCUGGAUGGCAAGAUACGUGAAAUCUAUAGUAAUUGCAGAACUCCCUACAAGCAUGUAAUUGCUUACAAAGGAGGACAUGUUGAAAAGGACGUUUUGGAACGUCUUGGCAUACCAUGUAUCAAUCUUGAACUUUUUAACUGUCCCAAGUUUGAGCAGAUUAGUAGAGGAAAUUAUCAAACUUGUGGUUUUCACAAGUAUAAUGGCCACUGUCCACUUGCUGAAGUCCAUGCCUUCAGAGCCUGGAUGUUAGCUCGUCUUUGAAGUAUUAAUACAUAAAUCGUAGUAACAAACUACUUUUUUGUUACCUGUCAUGAUUAUAGUUAUAACCUAAUUGUAAUUUUAAUUAACUGUUGUUGUCUUAAAUAAAUAAAACUAAUAUUUUACUGUA